rnacentral:rRNA from 1 species
GUAGCGGCGGAGCUCCGGGAGACGAUGGACGCGCUGGCGCAGCGGGUGAGCGUGCUGCGGGCCUCGCUGCAGAGCAGCCAAGGGAACACGGAGGGCAUGGUCGCCAUCCUCGGCUCAUUCGACCAGCGCCUCUCCGAGCUCGAGGCCACCAUACACCCCAUCCAGGUGAGGGCGCACGCGACCCAGAUGGCGCAUGAGAACAUCGACAAGGCGAUCAAGGUCGCCGAUGACAUCCUCGCCCAGGUCGUCAUCGUCCGCGAGGCAGAAGCUACGAUAUUGAGGGGGCCCCAUGUGGAUCUGGAGAGCUACCUGAAAGCUGUGGGUCAUCUGAAAGACGCUGUUGGUUUUUUCUCCUCGAGGGAGAACUUUACGAGUAAAGAACGAUUUCUGAAUGAUGUAAACGUUCUCUUAUCUAAGUCUUCUCUGAUGGUUGAGGAAGAAUUCAAGUGGUUGAUGACAACAUACAGCAAACCUAUUGAGGGUGAUCUUAUAUUGGGUUCGCCUCCAAAGCUUCAAUGGGCGUCAGAUGGCAAUGCUGAAGCAGAUGGACGAAAUUCUGCCCAUUCCGAGCAUCCAUCCAAAGACUUGGAAACUGCCAUUUGCAGGACUCCAGCACUGAUCCCCUCUAGAAUAUUACCCCUUCUUCAUACUAUAGCUCAGAAAUUGGUCCAGGAUGGAAACCAGCAGUCAUGCUACAAAAUUUACAGAGAUGCUCGUCGUUCGGCAUUAGAACUGAGUCUUCGGAAACUGGGAGUAGAAAAGCUUAUUAAAGAUGAUGUAGAAAGAAUGCAAUCGGAUGCUUUAGAAGCUAAAAUUGGAAAGUGGACCAAGUAUUUGCAAAUUACAGUGAAACUCCUUGCUGGAGAACGAAAAAUUUGUUAUGAGGUUUUUGAAGGUAUCAGUUUCAACAAGGAUCAGUGUUUCACUGAACUGGCAGGAACUGGAGUUGCUGUUGCUAAAACUCUUCUCAGCUUUGGAGAUGCUGUUGCUAAAAGUAAAAGGUCUCCUGAAAAGUUGUUUGUACUGCUGGAUAUGUAUGAAGUAAUGCAUGAAGUUAGAUCCGAGGUUGAAGUAAUUUUUCAAGACAGUUUUUGCUCGGAGAUGCGUGAGGCUGCAUUGGGCUUGAUGAAGCUCUUGGCACAGACUGCCCACGAAAUGUUUGUUAAUUUUGAGGAAUUAGUUGAGAAGGAUACUUCAAAGACUAACGUCCAUGACGGAACUGUCCAUCCUUUGACUAUCCGUGUGAUCAAUCAUGUUAAAUUCCUUUUUGAUUAUCAGUCAACACUGAAUCUACUAUUUCAAGAAUUUGAAACUGGAAGUGAUACUGAAUCCCAACUUGCAGUUGUUUUGACAAAGAUAAUGCAAGCCCUUCAGAACAACUUAGAUGGGAAAUCUAACCAGUACAAGGAUCCUGCGCUGAUGAGCAUAUUUCUUGCGAACAACAUUCACUACAUGGUUAGUUCUGUUCGCAGAUCAGAAGCCAAGCAUAUACUUGGUGAUGACUGGAUUCAGAUACAUCGUAGGAUUGUACAGCAACAUGCCAAACAAUACAAAAUGGUUGCAUGGGGAAAGGCUGUUCAGACGCUCUCCAUUCAAGUUGCCAGCAGCAGUGCAUCGUCUGAUCUUAGCAGCAGUGGAGUUUCAAGAGCUAUGAUCAAAGAAAGGUUUAAGUCUUUCAAUAUGCAAUUUGAAGAGCUUCGUGCAAAGCAAUCUCUAUGGACCAUACCUGAUCAAGAACUGAGAGAAACUCUGAGGCCUUCUAUAGCUGAAGUUCUCUUGCCAGCCUAUAUGUCCUUCGUUAAACGUUUUGGGAAUCUUGUUGAAAAUGAAAAGAAGCCUCGUAAAUACUUGAAAUACCAGCCAGAUGAGUUGGACCAGUUGCUGGGUGAGUUCUUUGAAGGACAACAAUCUGUUGAACAGAAGAAGUAA